GGCAAGAUGGCCGAGUGGUUAUGGCGGUGGUCUCAAGUUUCAAAAAUCUUGCGCUAGUAAAUAGCGAUAAAUGCCACUGGAGCAAUCCGCAGGGGUUCGAAUCCCCUUCUUGUCA